rnacentral:lncRNA from 1 species
CAAAAAGUGUUAAAACUAAUAUUAACUUGGACAAAUGCCAUGACAACUCAAUGAUAUUAGAGCAGUGUAAUUAAGUAUAUUUUGAAAAGUUUAAAUAAAUUAAGCAGCUAAAUAAUACUCAUCUAAUACAAUCCUAAAACACAAUUCCAACAGUACAAAUCUGUUUUCUGUGUCGCAGUGAACAAGUCAUGGUAGCAUUUCAAUAUUUUUUUUUCGCUUUCAUUUUGUGUUUUAAUGCUUGCAGGAAAAAAAUAAAAAUUAAAAAAUUAAAAUAAAAAAAAAAGAAAGAAGAAGAAAAGAAAAUAUUUUAACAUGUGAACAUCAGGUCAGGAACACAUUAACGACAGCUCGAGGCCAGAAUGUGCUACGCACGUGGUACUGAAAUAGGUAUUGAAAUAGACGUCGACGGAGGGGGACUGGUGAGAGGAGUUUUCAGCCGGAAAACGCAGGAGAUUUCUUCCUGAGGGUGAUUCUUUGACUAAACAACCAGUCCUAUAGAAUCGAUAAGGACCGCAAAGGAAUUCACACGGCUAAAAGGGGAAAGGAAACUUGAAAAUUAGCCAGUACGUGACUAAUAUUAAGCACUUAAAGCCGGAAAAAGAAAUCUAAUAUCACUUCAUAACCGACCCGCCAAAAGGUCAAUUCAAUUUAAUGAAACUUUUGAAAGAGUGGAUGAUUAAAGAAAAAAAUUGUAAGCUACAAGAAGAUAAAAAUAGGCUUUUGGGCGGGUUUGUAGAUCAAAUUUGAUCAUGAAAAUUCGUUGCUGAGCGAUAAGUGAUAUUCGGUGCGGAAUAAUGAUUUCUUUUAUAUCACAUGCUCAACCAAAUAUCUCUUUCCUUAUUGGUCAAUAACGAAUGCAGAAGAAGGCCAUAGAGUGUAAUACAGAAUUUCCGCAUCGAAUUAUCUAAGAAGGAUUAAGUUUUCAAAAUACUACCAAAACCAAAUUGACCUUAGGUCUGCCCUUCACGAUUAUGGAAAAUCAUCGGUUUAUAAAGAAAGCAUUUUUUUGAACUGUCGGAAAGUGUUUCGAUAAGUGUGCAUCAAAAGCAGCGUUUCAAAGUUCUUUUUCGUAGAAAAUUUUAAAAGGCUAGAAAUCGUAUAAACUACUCGCAUACUUCGUGAUUGAUGGUCACUUGUGAUGACUGAAGUGUUUUCAAAUUUAUCUCGCUUAUGUCUCGUGCAAUAACGAAGAGUUCUCAAACAUCACUCGCGUCUGCAAAUCACGCAGUGUACUCGUGUUCAAGUAAUUUAUUCUACCAAAGAAUAAUGUUCAUUCGAGUUGUUAACGACUUAACUAAGAGCACUGCAAUCCCUCUCCCAAUGUAAGUUAACACCAAAUUAUUACUUGGUCAACUCUCAGACUUAAUCUGUACCUUCAGUAAUUUUUCCGGAGAGUUUAUCCUCUUUAAAACACGUUAUAUUGUACUGUAUUUAAGCUGGCGCCAUCUCCGGAAAUCGAAGCUUAUGUACAAUACUCGGUUGAUGUCGCUAAAAUAUGUCUAGUGGCACUCUUUAGGAAUAUGAGGACCUUGUAACAUUCGCUGCCCAAUUUCACUGCUCUGCCAAUUAAAACUCUCCUCGCCGCAUAGUCUUCUGCUCCUCCACGUCACGCAACACGCUCUCUCUGCGUAACAUGGCCAAACAACAUCCGUGAAGGAGUCUUUUCAUAAGUUCCUUAUACUAUCCAUGCACUAACUAAUCGUCAGAUUGAUAAAAUGCGAUGCACCUACUCGGAACUUGUGACAUCCAAACACGCUGCUCUGUUUAGAAGCUAAAAACAGCCUCUCUUGCUGUCAGAUGGUAUAAGAAAACUAAAAUAAUUAUGAAAACUUUAAAUAUCACCCAGCUCUUCGACAGAGGGUUUCCCAAUAUCAAGAGUAAUUUUUUUUUCUUGCUAAUAUUCAAUAACAAUCGUGAAUGUGAUUUUUAAAAUCUUUUAGCGAAAUUUUGUUUCUAAAUUAUGACAAGGAGAGCAAAGUUUUUGAGUUAUUUUUUUUACCUGAGUGGUUUACUAAAAGAAUAAAUACUCUGUUUCAUUGACGCCCAUUUUUGUCUGAAGAGGGAUAGGUGACGUAAUAGUCUAGAAAAGUUUGGCCUGCGAAGGAGUGGUACCGAGCGUCAAAAGCUCCUGAUUAGGCCUAAACAAUGGCUGAGUAAAAAAUAAAGUUGUCCUAGUUGGUCCAAACAACUAAUGCAUAUAUCCUACAUUAAAGCCUACUUAGCCGGGCUGUAUGGUACAAUGCGUUGUUAAUACUCAAAAUGUAAAAAUUGCUUCUUUUUACAUAUUAGAGUUAACGCGUUUACGAAGGCCUCAGAAUAGUAAGGCCGGGCCAAAUUUAGAUUUUUCAGCGAUUAGAACGGCUCAGGAUAAUAUAUUUCCAAAAGAAAAUGUUUCUGAUGAUAUAAUGGUAUUUUUACACCGACAUUCUCCAGCCUCGGGUGAAAGAAGCGAAGAAUGGUUGGGUAGACCCGAUUGUCCAGUUUGUGACAUGCUUAACUUUCUUGCUAUAUUUCUACUUGUUCUCGCCCAUUUUUUUGACAGAUAUUUAUUACCAUAAUUAUGCAUCAUCUGUGAUUCUUAGUCUUCAUUAUUAGAACUUUUGCGAUCUUUUGUCCCGCUUUAAAAUUCAGCUGGUUUUAUCUGAAAAGUGGAAGCCAUAGUCACUAAAGGUAAUUCCUAGGUCAUUGUUAGAACGUUUUUUGAUUGAGUGCCGGAAACCAAAACCAUGGUAAUCACCACGGCCAUUCAAAAGAGAGGAAAACAUAUUUAAGAAACAAUAAGAACUCAAAGUAAACCGCCUAAACCGCCUAAAGCGCAGGAAAAUGCGAGCGACCAAGCCGUAAUUGGUUUUAGCUUUCCAUCUCUGAUUGUUUGAGAGAGUAACGCGAAUUCUUUGGACCAAUCGCAGAGGGAAAUAAGCAAAAACAAAGCAAUUGUGGAUUAAUUUCGACACUCAGUUGAAAAUAGCUCUUAAGCACAUAUUUGGGCUAACCUUGGAUGAAUCAUAAUGCUCUUUUGUGCUUGGUAUAUCUUUGUUCAGCCGCUUUUUAUAAUUUCUUUGUCGACUUGUUUUGGUGAGGUGACUUAGAACACCAUCGAAUGAAGUUCUUUGCUACAUGGCACAGUCCUCAAGAGGUUAGACCUGGCUAAGUACCUUUGUUCUUUUGGUCUCGCGACACCCUUUCACUGAGCGGUUUCUUCUUACGGUCAAUCAAUUUCGCAUCACAGGGAUAACAAGGUAUUUAAAAAGUCAACAACAACAAAAAUUUUGGCAGCAUAUGGAAUAUUUAAUUAGAAAUCACUAAUCUUCAAAGAACAAUUUUUCGCCUGGAAUUAGCAUAUGGAAUACUUCAGUAAAAAUCGUUCAACGACAAAAGAACACUUGCCCAUUUUUUUUUCUUUUUUUGCACUUUGAAUAGUGUAAUUUGUGUAAGAAUCGAACUUUUUAGAUUACAUUGACUAUGACUAAACUAAGUUAAAUAAACUACUGUUGGAACCAA